AUUUUGCGUUAGGGAUAGCAGUGGAAAUCCUUUAAAGAUUUCCUGUAGUACAAUGGAAGGAAAUCUUUAAAGAUUGAAACGGAUAGCCCGGCCGCAG
rnacentral:sRNA from 1 species